rnacentral:rRNA from 1 species
AUGCACGCUGGCGGCGUGCCUCAUACAUGCACGUCGAGCGAACAGAUGAGGAGCUUGCUCCUCUGACGUUAGCGGCGGACGGGUGAGUAACACGUGGAUAACCUACCUAUAAGACUGGGAUAACUUCGGGAAACCGGAGCUAAUACCGGAUAAUAUAUUGAACCGCAUGGUUCAAUAGUGAAAGACGGUUUUGCUGUCACUUAUAGAUGGAUCCGCGCCGCAUUAGCUAGUUGGUAAGGUAACGGCUUACCAAGGCAACGAUGCGUAGCCGACCUGAGAGGGUGAUCGGCCACACUGGAACUGAGACACGGUCCAGACUCCUACGGGAGGCAGCAGUAGGGAAUCUUCCGCAAUGGGCGAAAGCCUGACGGAGCAACGCCGCGUGAGUGAUGAAGGUCUUCGGAUCGUAAAACUCUGUUAUUAGGGAAGAACAAAUGUGUAAGUAACUAUGCACGUCUUGACGGUACCUAAUCAGAAAGCCACGGCUAACUACGUG